rnacentral:rRNA from 1 species
UGAACGCUGGCGGCAGGCCUAACACAUGCAAGUCGAGCGGCAGCACGGGUACUUGUACCUGGUGCGAGCGGCGGGACGGGUGAGUAAUGCCUAGGAAUCUGCCUGGUAGUGGGGGAUAACGCUCGGAAACGGACGCUAAUACCGCAUACGUCCUACGGGAGAAAGCAGGGGACCUUCGGGCCUUGCGCUAUCAGAUGAGCCUAGGUCGGAUUAGCUAGUUGGUGAGGUAAUGGCUCACCAAGGCGACGAUCCGUGACUGGUCUGAGAGGAUGAUCAGUCACACUGGAACUGAGACACGGUCCAGACUCCUACGGGAGGCAGCAGUGGGGAAUAUUGGACAAUGGGCGAAAGCCUGAUCCAGCCAUGCCGCGUGUGUGAAGAAGGUCUUCGGAUUGUAAAGCACUUUAAGUUGGGAGGAAGGGUUGUAGAUUAAUACUCUGCAAUUUUGACGUUACCGACAGAAUAAGCACCGGCUAACUCUGU